CCCUCUCAUCGAGCUGCACAUACUUCGGCAGUUCAGAGUCACGGAGCUUCUCAGGUCACCCUGACGACCAUUCUUCCGAAAUGGAGCUUUCGUGGGAACAAGAGAGCAUUUCGCCAGCCCCAUCGAGCUGCACGUACUCGGGCCGCUCAGACUCGCGGAGUUCCUGUGGUCACCCUGUCGACCAGUCUUCUGAGGUGGAACUUUUGUGGGAACAAGAGAGCAGUUCGCCAGCCUCAUCGAGCUGCAUGCACUCGG